GAGUACGGUUUACCGCAGGAAACAGCAGUCCGUCAAAGGUUCCACCAACCUUCUACCACAGAUAACUCAAGCAGAGUCGGGCCUGGUUAGUACUUGGAUGGGAGACCACCUGGGAAUACCAGGUGCUGUAAGCU
rnacentral:rRNA from 1 species